UACGUAGGGUGCGAGCGUUAAUCGGAAUUACUGGGCGUAAAGCGUGCGCAGGCGGUUUUGCAAGCCGGAUGUGAAAUCCCCGGGCUUAACCUGGGAAUGGCAUUCGGGACUGCAAGGCUGGAGUGCGGCAGAGGAGACUGGAAUUCCUGGUGUAGCAGUGAAAUGCGUAGAUAUGCGGAGGAACACCGAUGGCGAAGGCAAUCCCCUGGGCCUGUACUGACGCUCAUGCACGAAAGCGUGGGGAGCAAACAGG
rnacentral:rRNA from 1 species